AUUGAACGCUGGCGGCAGGCCUAACACAUGCAAGUCGAGCGGGGUUUUCGGACCUAGCGGCGGACGGGUGAGUAAUGCGUAGGAAGCUGCCCGAUAGAGGGGGAUACCAGUUGGAAACGACUGUUAAUACCGCAUAAUGUCUACGGACCAAAGUGUGGGACCUUCGGGCCACAUGCUAUCGGAUGCGCCUACGUGGGAUUAGCUAGUUGGUGAGGUAAUGGCUCACCAAGGCGACGAUCUCUAGCUGGUUUGAGAGGAUGAUCAGCCACACUGGAACUGAGACACGGGCCGGACUCCUACGGGAGGCAGCAGUGGGGAAUAUUGGACAAUGGGCGCAAGCCUGAUCCAGCCAUGCCGCGUGUGUGAAGAAGGCCUUCGGGUUGUAAAGCACUUUCAGCGAGGAGGAAGGGUGGUGUGUUAAUAGCACAUCAUUUUGACGUUACUCGCAGAAGAAGCACCGGCUAACUCUGUGCCAGCCGCCGCAGUAACAC
rnacentral:rRNA from 1 species